CCCCAAAAUGCAGGGACUUGUUUUUGUCUUUUUGUCUUUUAGAAUAUCUUUUGAUUUUGUUCUUGCAAGAUGGACCCUGGGUGGAAAGAGCUCCAGUCCAUGGGCCGUUUAUGCCAUGGAGAUAAAAUAACAGGAGUAUUCUCUUGUUCAUGGAUGAGGUCUCCUCUCAUACUGAGUCUGUGCUCUGGGCUGUAAUUUUCACAAGUGCCUCUCAGUUUUUUCCUGCCUUAGAUGGGACAGGGUGGCUGGAGGGCACUGGUGUUGGGUAUUUCCUUUCUCCUAGGUUGAUUAGUCUCUCAGAAACUCUACUAGGCUGGAGGAAAAUAAUUUUAUCUUGAGACCUUGUGAAGAGCUACAGGCUUUGUUCGGAUUUAUACCAAAAUGGCUGUUUUCCCUCACCCUGCCCAAAGUCAGGGCACAUGUUCCUCUGAUCUUCACUGUGAGCAGGUGGUAUAGACCCAGGACAUGAAUUCACAAGAGUGUGGGUCCCCUUCCCCUUGAACAUUUCACUCCGCAUCGAUGUCCAGUGAUUCAUCCCUGACGUUUCUGGCUUUCUGAUCCUGGUCCUGGCUCGUGUGGUUUCUGCUCUGCUAAGUUGCGAUUCUCCUGUUUGCCUUAUCUCACGUCGCUUCCCUGUCUCUCCAGUUUGCGGGGCGGUAGUGGCCUUGCUUUUCUGACAGAUCUAACAAGAGUUGUUGAUUUUUCAGUUUGUUUGGACCUUUAGUUGCUUCAGGACAGAAUACUCACUUCAAGCUCCUUCCGUGUCAUAGGAACCAGGCAUCGCCUUUUCUAACAUAUCUAUGCUUGAGCUGGGUGCGGAGAUGCACACAACGCUUGGGAGGCUGAGGCGGGAGGAUAGCUUCAAAUUCCAGGUCAGCCUGGGCUACACAGUGAGUUCAACGCCAGCCUGAACUACAUGGUUUAUGGGACAAGAAUAUUCUGGCCUUUGCAAUCUUGAGAACAGGAAGAAGAAAAUCAACACAGAUCAAAUUUCUCAAGGCAUGAGAAUUCAAAGGAAAAAAAUCGUUUCAGUACUUCCUUAAGACACCUUGGAUUGUAAGACCGGUAUUGUUAAACCAUGGCCUUGCUCUUCAUGGAUCUAUAGAGCUCCCUUGAAAUGGUUUGCACCAAAUUCCUUGAAAUGGCUGGAAAUGUACUGUAAAUAGCCAAGACUGACGAAAUGCAGUGGGAAGGGGAGGGGAAAGGUAGGAAGGGAAAAGAAAAACAUAGGGAGAAAAUGAA